ACGGAGGGUGCAAGCGUUAUUCGGAUUUAUUGGGCGUAAAGGGCGCGUAGGCGGCUUUUUAAGUCAGAUGUGAAAUCCCGGGGCUUAACCCCGGAAGUGCAUUUGAAACUGGGAAGCUUGAGUAUGGGAGAGGGAAACGGAAUUCCUGGUGUAGCGGUGAAAUGCGUAGAUAUCAGGCGGAACACCGGUCGCGAAAGCAGUUUACCGGAUUGAUACUGACGCUGAGGCGCGAAGGCGCGGGGAUCAAACAG
rnacentral:rRNA from 1 species